rnacentral:lncRNA from 1 species
AAUAUCACUGGAAAAACUUUUUGUAACUGCGUGUUGGUUGGGCCUUGAAGACUGCCUUCAGCUGUCAAAAGAACUUUUCGCAAAAUGGGUGGAUCAUCCAGAAAAUGAAAUACCUUAUCCAAUUAAAGAUGUGGUUUUAUGUUAUGGCAUUGCCUUGGGAAGUGAUAAAGAGUGGGACAUCUUGUUAAAUACUUACACUAAUACAACAAACAAAGAAGAAAAGAUUCAACUUGCUUAUGCAAUGAGCUGCAGCAAAGACCCAUGGAUACUUAACAGAUAUAUGGAGUAUGCCAUCAGCACAUCUCCAUUCACUUCUAAUGAAACAAAUAUAAUUGAGGUUGUGGCUUCAUCUGAAGUUGGCCGGUAUGUCGCAAAAGACUUCUUAGUCAACAACUGGCAAGCUGUGAGUAAAAGGUAUGGAACACAAUCAUUGAUUAAUCUAAUAUAUACAAUAGGGAGAACCGUAACUACAGAUUUACAGAUUGUGGAGGCUGAAUUUUUAUUAGGCAGUCUUUUUCCUUGUGGAGAGAAGCAUAGCUCCCCACUUAUAUAAUCCUCAGCACUCUCAGUUGCAGAAGGAAGGAUACUUUCUCACAGCUUCAAGAGUUCCUGCCCCGAAAAAAAGCACUUUGAUUGGUCCUACUUGGGUCAGAUGUACCAAUCACUGUGUCCAGGGAAGAUGGAAUACUCUAAUUGGUCUAACCAGGGUCCUGUGGCCACACUAGGAGACAGCCCCACCCAAGUCACUGGCACUGGGAAGGGGAAGGGGUAGUUCUGGAAGGAAAAAGGGCUGUAACCAGAAAGUA